ensembl:lncRNA
GAUUUUUCGCCCACAGCAGAUGUCUAGACCCUGGACACAUAACAGAAGAAGGAGAGAGGGACCCUAAGAGGGACCCUAGGAGGGACGUAAAGGAGAGAAAAAUCCUGUUAAGACAGACAAUCAGAUGGUAUGGCCUCUGAGGACCCCCAUGACCAACUGGACGAGGCCAUUAACGAGGCAAAAGGGCUGGCUGAGGAGCUCAACCCAGAACCAGUAAUGUAACAAGUCGUACAUUACCGGUCGCUACAAUGUCACAGUGCCUGUGCUGACCUGCACAACCUGUCUUAGCACCUGGACAGCAAACUUAGCAGAUCUGAUAAAGAAUGGGCACUGGCCUGCCACUGUCAACUGUGACACCAUUUACCAGGUAGACCUGUUCAGCUCUUUUGAGGAGCUGAAAGUGUCAGCCCCAGGAAUGUCCCGUCUGGCAUUUAUGCGGAUUUUGGAGCAGCGAACUGACUUCUUUGGCAGGAACGGAAUGAUCUGUGGGGACACUUUUCAAAAAAGCUUCUUUGAGUGGACGUACUGCCGCUCUGAAAUUGAUCAGGUCUGUGAUAUACAGUACUUUGACUGCCUAGCCUGUUCACUCAUGCUUGCAGUGUCAGUGGACGGGAACAAGAAGCUGUAUCGUUUCAAAAAAGGGACUGAUGACAAAGGAUUCUUUGAUGGCGUAUUUAUCUGCAAGGAUAAGGAUGUCUGACUUUGUGAACUAUGUCCAUACAAAGACUAAACAUGGUUAUGGAAAAGGGGUAUGUGGAGCAUCCCAGUGGACAGCAGCUAAAGAGUCGUCAAGGAAAACAAACGACAACCUUGAUGAAGAGGGACUUGAAGUUGCCAUCUGCCGCCAUGGAAUACUUCUAAGGAGCCUCAACAUGAUGCGUGGAGAGAUAUUUGCAUACCCACUGUUCUUGCAGAAGGAAUUGUCUGGUAGCAGGAACAUACAAUUCAUGUGUACAGAUGUGAUCUGCAAAUUUUGGCCAUAACUGACCAGGGUUGCUCUUCAUUGUCCAGAGCUCGCCACUCGUCUAGACAUGAAGCCACUUCUUUCUGUCUGUCGUGCAUGCUAGAUUAAGUGGGGAGGACGGAAUCGGCAAGGAGCUGGCACAACUCUGGCGGAGGAAGUGAAACAAGGGAACAGCUUCUUGUCGAGGGCUGCAGACUGUCGGCGGUCGACGUCACUGGUCUUCUAGCCAAUACACUUUUCCUUUUCCAUUUGUUUUGUCUUGUCUUCCAUUACACCUGGUUUCAAUCUCAUCAAUUACAUGUUGUGUAUUUAACCCUCUGUUCCCCACAUAUCCUUGUCCGGUAUUGUUGAUUGUAAGAGUUUGUGCACAUUAUGUCUGGCAUGCGAAGGGUUUUGUCCCAUUGUAUUUAUUUAUUUGUGUUUGUUCACAGUGAUAUUAUUAUUAAACUGCACCCUUGUAACAUAGUUUUUGCUCUCCUGCGCCUCACUUCUCUGCCGCCAGUACGCACACAUUACAGGAAUAAGGAAUUCUAUUUGGCUUUUCUAGCAAGAACAGACAUGCUAACCAUCCAUGCCAUGGAACAGAAGGAAGAAGAACAGCCUGCACAGAGUAUUUUCCAGAAGAUACUUGAAGGUGUAUUGUGUGGAUCAAUACAUGUAUUUUAGAAGUAUUAUAUCUAUGCAUUUAAUUUAUUAUAAAAAAUACAUAUAUUCAGCAAAAAUCCAGGAGGAGACCCAGACUCUCGAAAAGUUUAAGAGUGAUUUGGGUGUAGGCAAUGAGACUGUACAACUGGACAACGGAAGUUCAGCAAUGGGCCAAUACAGGUAAAUGAAUACAAAAACUAAAUAAUCCUAAACGUAACUCUCCUGAACUGUCACCUUAACGUAGUGGAGAGGCUUGCGUACUCCAAUGACCCUGAGACCUAAACCCUUACAGGGUGUUUUCCACCGGCAGGUGCAAUCAAGCCGGACAGGUGGAAGGGUAGGAGGCAGACAAAACAUUCACUGGUUCUCCAGGUUGGGGAUCACUCACCCCCCACAUAACAAAUAAUUUGUUACAGAAACCUUCACGGGCCCUAUGUUCCUCCAGGAAGUGAGUGCAACUACUCACCGUUGGAGAUACGUUGUUAAUUUAUAGAUGUAUUGUAUUUCAGAGGAAACAAAUGAGAACAUGGAUGGUCCCCAGGUACUACAGAGAACAAUUGAAGUCCUUUUUCUUAGCAUCAAACAGACAGAUGGAUGCAAGAAAAGACACCCUCUGCGCAGAAAGAUAUUGGAAGAAAAGGCCAAAUUGGCAGCUGCCAUAGAGGAGUACAACACCCUUGUACCAGAUUUAGUAAUACCAUCUGCAGAUGAGAUCCUUUCCGCAGACCUUCAUGCAUGGCCUUGGGAGCUGCAUGGACAAACUGACCUACACACAAAGAAAAUAGCCUUUGACCGUGUGAUGCUUCUGAGACUGCUGAAGGAGGAGGAGUUAAUUGUCCUAAAGGAAGUCAAGCAGCACUGGGAAAGCCUAAAGAGGGAAUCGGAGAAUGUGCAAGACCUUGCUUCACAUGUGGCUCUUGACCUAAGCCGGGCAAAGUAGGGGUACUUUCAUUAAUAUGUACAAUUGAUGAUGGCACCCUGUAAGCCUAUUUCUCAGGCCCAGAAGCUAGAAUAUGCAUAUAAUUGGCAGAUUAGGAUAGAAAACACUCGACAUUUUCCAAAACUGUCAAAAUAUUGUCUGUGAGUAUAACAGAACUGAUAUUGCAGGUGAAAACCUGAGGAAAAUCCAACCAGGAAACCUCUCUGUUCCAUUGCAGGCCUGUCCUCCAUUUAAAGGGAUAUCAACCAGAUUCCUUUCCUUAUAGCUUCCACAAGGUGUGAACAGUCUUUAGACAUAGUUUCAAGCUUUUAUUCUGAAAAAUGAGCGAGAAUGAUCACAUUGCGUUAGUGGAUAGCUGUGUGUCCCCAGAGUUUUGCAUGCGCGAGCAACUUGGACCAGACAUUUUCUCUCUCUCUCCUAUUGAAAAGGCUACGGCCUGGUUGAAAUGUUAUCAAUUAUUUUUGUAAAAACAACCUGAGGAUUGAUUAUAAAAAACAUUUGACAUGUUUCUACGAACUUUACCGAUACUAUUUGGAAUUUUCGUCUGCCCGUCAUGACCUGCACGAGCCUGUGGAUUACUCAACAAAACACGCCAACCAAAUGGAGGUUUUUGGAUAUAAAAAUAAUCUUUAUCGAACUAAACUAACAUUUAUUGUGUAACUGGGAGUCUCGUAAGUGCAAGUACAUCCGAAGAGCAUCAAAGGUAAGCAAUUCAUUUUAUUGCUUUUCUGACUUUCGUGACCAAUCUACUUUGCCGCUCGUCUGUUACUGCUUUUACUGUCUGUUACUGUUACAUGACCAGGUCCGAUGCACCCCUUUAAAUGGACAAUCUACAGUUGAUACAUCCACUUUUGGAUUCUUGAAGAAUAUAAUAUAUGAAUGCCUCAUGAACAUAAUUCAACUGCCGUACCCCAUCAGAUCCCAAGAUAUAUAUUUUUUUCUACUCCAAUUUUUGUAAACAAAGUAAAUGUAAACAUACACUUGCAUGUGUUAAACUCAUUCCACGGGUGAGCUGAGUGUCUGCAGGUUUUCGCUCCUCCCAUGAUUCACUAAUUAGUAAGGAACUCCCCUCACCUGGUUGUCUAGGUCUGAAUUGAAAGGAAAAAACAAAAACCAGCAGACAAAUCAAAUCAAAUGUUAUUUGUCACAUACACAUGGUUAGCAGAUGUUAAUGCGAGUGUAGCGAAAUGCUUGUAGGGGGAACUAUGCCCUCCGUGGAAUGAAAUUGACACCACUGGACUAUAGCCUGAAACAUGGUUUAAACUAUGGUUCCAUUUCUCCAUCCCCAUCCCUCUGCUUUUUACAGAACCAUUGGCGGGAGAACAAUUUAUUGUUUCACCUGGUGAUUUCCAAUUUAAACAUUGUUAAACUGUAAUGUACUGUUCUUGUGUGUGCUUAUUAGUUUAGAAUAGAUAGAAAACUAAAAAAGGUUAUCCUUGUCUUCAAGUAAUAAUUUGCAUCCUGAUGGAGCUACAUCAGUACAUUAGUCGUGGACUUUUUAAGUCAAUGAUUCCUUAUGUAUGUAUGAGAUGUACAAAUGUUUAACUAGUACUGAGUACUUUGACCAGUUACUUCUUUACUCUCAAGUAGUUUUCGAGAGGGCUACUUGUACUUGAGUACAAGACCUGACUCCCAUCAGCUGCAGAUUAGGUUAGUUGAAAGAAAAUGUUGCCUAGAAUCUACAGGCACUCGCAAUUAAUCAUCAAAAGUAUGGACACAGAAUUAUUGAAGUGAUUAUUGUAUUUUGUUUUAUGCUGACCAAAUUAUGACCCAUGACAUCUUUUGGGAAGAAUAAUGCAUAGCCCUUGUGUGUUAAACUGCACACUUGGAAAUGUUCCUAUUGAAAUGGGGGUUGUCCCAUACUGAACAAGCCAGUUGCAAGUGAAAUACUCUUAACGCUACUAAUAGCAACACCGUAUUAUUAUGAAAAUUAGAUUUUUUUUUAAAUGAAACGUGUGCAGGCAGGUCUGACAUAGUGGGAGAAUUGUGAACAUGCAUGUAUAUAUAUAUCUGUGACAAUACAGUGUUUGGCCACAUCUUCGGUUUGGUCGUUCGGUCAAAGUUUGUUUUGGUUGUGCGCGUCGCAAUGCCCGUGACAUAAAAUACUUUGUUUCUGAAUUUUCUGAUUACAUUUUAAACUAUUCAUAAAUUAUUCUUGCGCAAUGUUACUUUCAUUUGAAUGUCGUAAACAUUGUUGGAUUCUAUUAAAUAAUGUAAAUGUAACAGAUAAAUUAUUACAUUACAGAAACUGGAAAAGUUGUGAACUACAAAUGUGGCACCAUUUUGUAGUUUUUUACUAACCCUAAACGGUUCGUUUUUUUAUCAAUAUCUUCACCAAUAUCAUUCUAAUUGAUGUAGAAUGAUAUGUAGAUUCAUUAGGACAUAAUGCUGUACUGCAUCAGCACAUGCCAAUUCAAUGUCUGAAAUAGUGCACUUUUUGAAAUGUGUUUUUUGUCAUAACUAUUUAAGCUUGACAUGUGUGAUUCUUUUGAUUUAAUAAGGACCCCUUACUAAACCUUCAUGUCAAAUAACGUUCGGAUAUGUUAAUCUAUUCUUGAUUUAAAAAAUCAUGGGGAAAAGUCAACUGUUGGUGGCGCUACUGAGCUCCCCAUGGCCACCAGGGGUAUGGGAUUGCAUAAUUAUGUAUAAUUCAUGCAUAGGAUUAUUUGUGCCACAAAAAAAACAAAAAAACAUAUUUUUGAGGACUCUGACCAGAGUUGACCUCUUACAAAGGUUUCCUAGGGGUGUAUAAAGAAAGGUUCAUGGCAGAAAACAAGUGUAUGUAUAGAAAUGCUUAUAUAAACAUUGUUACAUCAAUAUUGAUGCUUCUAGAAGUUCAAUAAUAGACAUUCAACAGUCUAUAUGUGGCUUAUGCCCAUGACCCACAUGGCCUUAUAACCACACCUCUAUUGCCAUGGUCCUCGGCACAUCAUAUUCCUGAUAAGCAACAACGAUGAAAAUUAAUUCUCACUGCCUAUUCAAAAACAAUCAGUUGUGAAAUGAUUUGGCUUUCACCUUCAUUAAAUAUUUUCCGUGGACAACUAGCCUAGAGACCAAGCAGAUAGACGGUCUGCCUUUAUACGCUAAACAUGCUGCAUGCCAAUAUGACUCAGGGGUAGGCCUAUAUCCAACAGAAAAAAUGCAGGUAAAGUAAUAUAUGUAAUAGCAUGAUAUAUACUGUAUAUACAGUGCCUUGCGAAAGUAUUUGCCCCCCUUGAACUUUGCGACCUUUUGCCACAUUUCAGGCUUCAAACAUAAAGAUAUAAAACAAUUUUUUUGUGAAGAAUCAACAACAAGUGGGACACAAUCAUGAAGUGGAACGACAUUUAUUGGAUAUUUCAAACUUUUUUAACAAAUCAAAAACUGAAAAAUUGGGCGUGCACCACAGACUGUCCAGGAGUUGGCGGAUGCUUUAGUCCAGGUCUGGGAGGAGAUCCCUCAGGAGACCAUCCGCCACCUCAUCAGGAGCAUGCCUAGGCGUUGUAGGGAGGUCAUACAGGCAAGUGGAGGCCACACACACUACUGAGCCUCAUUUUGACUUGUUUUAAGGACAUUACAUCAAAGUUGGAUCAGCCUGUAGUGUGGUUUUCCACUUUAAUUUUGAGUGUGACUCCAAAUCCAGACCUCCAUGGGUUGCUAAAUUUGAUUUCCAUUGAUAAUUUUUGUGUGAUUUUGUUGUCAGCACAUUCAAAUAUGUAAAGAAAAAAGUACUUAAUAAGAAUAUUUCAUUCAUUCAGCUCUAGGAUGUGUUAUUUUAGUGUUCCCUUUAUUUUUUUGAGCAGUGUAUGUUUUGUUCGAUAAAAUUCAUAUUUAUAUUUAAAAAAUCUCAGUAUACAUUGGCACGUUUAUGUUCAGUAGUUCCAAAAACAUCCGGUGAUUUUGCAGAGAGCCACAUCAAUUUACAGAAAUACUCAUUAUAUAUGUUGAUGAAAAUACAAGUGUUAUGCAUGGAACUUUAGAUACACUUCUCCUUAAUUACCCACUUGCGACGAGCAAACCCGUAUCCGGGAGCGUAAUCAUAGCCUCAAGCGCAUUACCUUAAUGCAACUUUUCCUAUUCAUGAAAAUUGCAAAUGAAAUGAAAUCAAUAUAUUCAAACACAAGCUUAGCCUUUUGUUAACAACACUAUCAUCUCAGAUCUUCAAAAUAUGCGUUACAGACAACGCUAGACAAGCAUUUGUGUAAGUUUAUCAUGGCAUAAUGCUAUGCUAGGCUCUGCUGGCAGCAGGCAACAUUUUCACGAAAAUAAGAAAAGCAACCAAAUUAAAUCAUUUACCUUUGAAGAACUUCAGAUGCUUUCACUCAGGAGACUCCCAGUUAGAUAGCAAAUGUUCUAAACGGAAAAGGUCCUGUUUGGUCAUCCUGCUUGGCUGAGAAAUCGACCGAAAAAUAGUUAAACUAUAACGCCAAACUUUUUUCCAAAUUUGCUCCAUAAUAUCGACAGAAACACGGCAAACGUUGUUUAGGAUCCAUCCUCAAGGUGUUUUUAACAUAUAUAUUCGAUAAUAUAUCCGUCGAGGCAAUUGGUUUCUCAGAAGAAGCGAUUGGAAAAAUGGCUACCUCAGUAUUUUACGCAAGAUUUUCUCCGGGAGACACCAUGUGACCACUGGCUAAAUAUGGUCCCUUACAGCUAUUGUCCAAUGGAAAUGCCUAAAAAUACGUCACAGUGCUGUAGACACCUUGUGGAAUGCGUGGAAAACGUAAGCUCAUUCGUAGCUCAUUCAUAGCCAUAUGAGGAGUCAUUGGCAUGAGGCGUUUUCAAAAAAUGCGGCACUUCCUGAUUGGAUUUUUAUCUGCGUUUUGCCUGUAACAUCAGUUCUGUGGCACUCACAGACAAUAUCUUUGCAGUUUUGGAAACGUCAGAGUGUCUUCUUUCCAAAGCUGUCAAUUAUAUGCAUAGUCGAGCAUCUUUUCCUGACAAAAUAUCUUGUUUAAAACGGGAACCUUUUUCAUCCAAAAAUGAAAUACUGCCCCCAGAGUUUCAAGAGGUUGAUGCAACCGCUGUGUCAGUUUCCAGAAAAGCUUUACGAAAAAAGCCAACCAUGCUUUUUUUUGAGUACAGCGCUCAGAGACUGUUAGGAAUAUUAUGAUUAAAUGACUGAACAAUAUUCUCAUUUUAAAUGGAACUGUAACUAAGUAAACUUAUACUCUGUUUUAUUAUAUCUGAUUAACAAUAUGAGUUCAUAAGAAGGGAUUGUGUGACACGGACAAGGAGUAAUUAAAGUUCAUGAACACCAUUCCAACUAGUCAGAAAGGAACGAGUUGUGGAUUAAGUAAGCAGAUAAGGUAGUUAACCUAUGGUUGAAACAAUGAAACUUAGCUCUGGGGUGUUUUAGAUAAGACAGUGAGUGCAUUCCUAGGUUUUCUGUUAAUUAGAACUGUCAGCUAAGUGGUGAUCGAUAAUGGUGAGGAGUCAAAAGUUAAUUCAGAUGUGUUGUGUGUCCUGUGUAUGUGCUAGUGGGUCAGAAUGAACUUUGAAUGAACUUUUAAAGUUCCCUUCGUCUCGGUCGAGAGGAGGAGAUUCAUUUUAGAAGCAAUGAAAUGACGUUAUGUUAUUGUAUAUAAACUGUUGCUCGUGGUAACGUGGCAGCGCGCUCCGAGAAUAAAUACUUUUAUCUAUUAUCGAUAAGACUGGUCUUCGUCUAUUUUAUGCAAACAAGAAUCUUACAAACGCUCAUAAAAUAGAUUAAGGGAAUUCAAUUAAUGAAAACAUAUUGGAAUAAUUAAAUUACAUUAACAGAGACCAAACAAGCAAAAAAGAUAUCCGCCAUAUUGUGCAGUCAAUAUUAGUCAGAAAUAGCAUUAUAAAUAGUUACUUACCUUUGAUGGUCUUCAUCAGAAUGAACUCCCAGGAAUCCCAGUUCCACAAUAAAUGUUUGUUUUGUUCGAUAAUGUCCAUCAUUUAUGUCCAAAUAGCUACUUUUGUUAGCGCAUUUUGUAAACAAGUCACGAAAUGCGUUCACUAGGAGCAGACAAAAUGUCAAAAAGUUCCGAUACAGUCUGUAGAAACAUGUCAAACGAUAUAUAGAGUCAAUCUUUAGGAUGUUUUUAACAUAAAUCUUCAAUAAUGUUCCAACUGGAGAAUUCCUUUGUCUUCAGAAAAGCGAUGGAACGCGAGCUACCUCUCACGUGAACGAGCGUCACGAGCUCAAAGCAUUCUACCAGACUCAUUCCCCUAACAUUCACCCCCACUUUACAGUAGAAGCAUCAAACUAGGUUCUAAAGACUGUCUAGUGGAAGCCUUAGGAAGUGCGACCAAUAUCCCACUGUAUCUUCAAUAGGGAAUGAGUUGAAAAACGACCAACCUCAGAUUUCCCACUUCCUGGUUGGAUUUUUUCUCAGGUUUUUGCCUGCCAUAUGAGUUCUGUUAUACUCACAGACAUAAUUCAAACAGUUUUAGAAACGUCAGAGUGUUUUCUAUCCAAAUAAACUAAUAAUAUGCAUAUAUUAGCAACUGGGACUGAGUAGCAGGCCGUUUACUCUGGGUACCUCUGGGCACCUUAUUCAGCCAAGCUACUCAAUACUGCCCCCAGCCAUAAGAAGUUAUCGACAAUUAGUGUUGCACUAGGAUUAGCCUGUAAGUACAGUCACAGGAAUUUCAAUGUACUGCAGAUUUACCUCAUUUGAAGAUCUAUUGGCAAGAAUCUUGAAAAUAGGGAAAUCGUUUGCCCUGGAUACACUGGACACUCUGAAACAAUAAAUGCAUGUAUUUACUUAAUCACCACCCACCAGAACAUGAAUAAAGUUAGCGGGACAGUCAUUUGCAUGAUUCAUUUUACAUCUAUACUUAUACUACACUCUUAGAAAUGGUUAUUUGGCUGUCACCAUAGGAGAAGCCUUUUUGGUUUCAGGUAGAACCCUUUUGGUUCCAUGUAGAACACUUAAGACAAAGGGUUCUACAUGAAACCGAAU